rnacentral:rRNA from 1 species
GAUGAACGCUGGCGGCGUGCCUAAUACAUGCAAGUCGAACGCGAGAGGAGGGAGCUUGCUCCCUCUGAUCGAGUGGCGGACGGGUGAGUAACACGUAGGCAACCUGCCCAUCAGCCGGGGAUAACUGCGGGAAACCGUGGCUAAUACCGGCUAAUCCUCUCCACCGCGGGGUGGGGAGUUGAAAGACGGUUUCGGCUGUCGCUGAUGGAUGGGCCUGCGGCGCAUUAGCUGGUUGGCGGGGUAACGGCCCACCAAGGCAACGAUGCGUAGCCGACCUGAGAGUGUGCUCGUCCACACUGGGACUGAGACACGGCCCAGACUCCUGCGGGAGGCAGCAGUAGGGAAUCUUACGCAAUGGACGCAAGUCUGACGGAGCAACGCCGCGUGAGUGAAGAAGGGUUUCGGCUCGUAAAACUCUGUUGUUAAGGAAGAACGCCAGGUAGAGUAACUGCUACCUGUGUGACGGUACUUAACCAGAAAGCCACGGCUAACUACGUGCCAGCCGCCGCGGUAA